UACGUAGGGGGCAAGCGUUGUCCGGAUUUAUUGGGCGUUAAAGAGCUCGUAGGCGGUUUGGUAAGUCUGGUGUGAAAUCUCCACGCUCAACGUGGAGGGGCCACCCGAUACUGCCAUGACUGGAGUCCGGUAGAGGAGUGUGGAAUUCCUGGUGUAGCGGUGAAAUGCGCAGAUAUCAGGAGGAACACCGGUGGCGAAGGCGGUUCUCUGGGCCUUACCUGACACUGAGGAGCGAAAGCGUGGGGAGCGAACAGG
rnacentral:rRNA from 1 species